rnacentral:tRNA from 1 species
GCCCGCGGUGGCUCAGAUGGAUAGAGCGUCUGCCAUGUAGGCAGGAGGUCCCGGGUUCGAGUCCCGGUCGGGGCA